CAAAAACAUCGCCUCUUGCAAAAUUAAAGAAUAAGAGGUCCCGCCUGCCCUGUGACAAUACGUUUAACGGCCGCGGUAUUUUGACCGUGCGAAGGUAGCGCAAUCACUUGUCUCUUAAAUGGAGACCUGUAUGAAUGGCAUAACGAGGGCUUAACUGUCUCCUUUUCCCAGUCAAUGAAAUUGAUCUUCCCGUGCAGAAGCGGGAAUUAAAACAUAAGACGAGAAGACCCUAUGGAGCUUUAGAUACCAAAACGGACCAUGUUAAAGAGCCCUUACAAAGGAAUUAAACUAAAUGGCCCCCGUCCUAAUAUCUUUGGUUGGGGCGACCGCGGGGUAACAUAAAACCCCCAUGUGGAAAGAGAAAACCUUUCCCAGAACCAAGAGCUACAGCUCUAAGCAACAGAACAUCUGACCAUCAAGAUCCGGCAAAGCCGAUCAACGAACCGAGUUACCCUAGGGAUAACAGCGCAAUCCCCUUCUAGAGCCCAUAUCGACAAGGGGGUUUACGACCUCGAUGUUGGAUCAGGACAUCCUAAUGGUGCAGCCGCUAUUAAGGGUUCGUUUGUUCAACGAUUAAAGUCCUACGUGAUCU
rnacentral:rRNA from 1 species